AAUGAAGAGGGUGUUGAAAUCAAGGAAAAUUUUUAGGGCAUUCCAUAACUUUUUCCCCUUCAAGAAAUAUCAUAGACAACCUUCCAUCCAAAGUCAACAAAAUUGAAACCCAUUUUUGAGAGUUGUUGGUGCCUCAUCCUAUAACUAACGACAACGUUAGGAAAUCCAGAGACGUCGUCGGGGGCCCCGAGAAGAGUUAUCUUUUGUUUUUAACAGCUUGCCCACCCUGAAAUCAACUCAACCGGAGGUAGGGUCUAGCAGCUGGAAGAGCAUCGCACGUCUUGUGGUGUCCAGUGCGCCCUUGAUGACCCUUGAAAAUCUGGAGGACCGAGUACCGUCCAUGCCCAGUUGUACUCAUAACCGCAUCAGGUCUCCAAGGUGAACAAUCUCU
rnacentral:ncRNA from 1 species